AUGAUCCUUUCCUCCCCGGUGACCAGUUCACCGCUGAGACGCGCCUAUCCGGCACUCGUCCGCUGCUUGCGAUGGCGAAAGCGUCGCGUCCAAGGCGGUACACGUGUCAGCGCUGGAGAGUAGCAACGCGCCCCGGUAUGGGUUGACCUGAAGGUUUCGAGUGCGACAACGUCGGUUGCUCGUCGUUGUCACCAGAAGUUGACAGUCGGAAACUCACUGGAACAGAGGUAUGCGCAGUGGUUCGUGUUUAGGACCUGCAGUUUUAUAACUGAGUGGAUAAACGAGAAUGUCUUGCAAUCCGCAAGCAAGUCCGCGUAGAGAGGGUGCCGCGAACCUUGUUCGGCGUACGAGAGUGCGCUGACCCCGAAACCCCCGACAAACACCAUUCACGACGUAUCGCUUGCACUUGUGCUCUAUUUUCGUUGUAGAGAGAACAGUGUAAGUGUAAAAACAGUGCAUGGUGCGGCUGAAACUCGGAUUGCUGUUGCCAACCGCUGAUACGCGCAUAUCCGGUGGUUCCACCAAAGGUGCACGCUCCGCGAGCCAGCUAACCUCUGCACCGAUAGUUGCUGCUUGCCUGUGCAUCUUCAUCUGCGGGUAGUUGAAUGAUACUUCGAUCUCGCCAGUAUAUGCAGCUCUGCACUCUAGAGAUAGCGGUGGAUAACUCUUUGGAGCUAAACGAAACUGUCGGCGAGACUGGGUCAGAUGACGAGGCACGCCCGAGGUUUCGAUCGUACGGCGAGCGCUUGCCCCGCUUGGUUUAUUUUCAGAGAGCUCGCGUCGCUGCCGGUCAACGAGCGGUGCGAUUCGCGUACACCACAUGUAUCCUCGUUAAGAGGCGCUUGUACAGCGCCCCGACUGUACUGUCUUCGUGUCGAGCAGCGCGGAACUCUAAUCCAAGUCAAGAACCUAUGUUCCGUGUAACGCACGAGUUGCCACUUCCCCGUCGCCUCUUUCUCUCGCGUGCAACAGCCUUGGAUUGGAUCGAUGGGCAACACCUCUGGAUGUAACGGAUAGGCGACAUUCUCGCUUCAUGAGCACUGCAAUACAUAGACAGGUUCACUUUUGAGAUCCUGAGUGUAUCAGGAGCUUCUCCUCGUUGCUCACGUUCGCUCCCGAGACGGCACAUCGGUCGAUGCCAGUGGCGCACUCGAAGCCGCUUGGACAAUGGUGUACCAUUUUUGGAAAUCCUCUGUGGCGAGCGCCUCGGCUAUGAGCGCCUCUGUCUCCGCGCUUGGAGCAAUCAACGGUAUCGCCUUGACUGCGACAUGCGUAUCCGCGGGUAAUAGCUCCCGCACCGCUUCCCGAAUAAGUGUUUCUGCUCGGUGGCGGCGGUGUUCCGCGGCUACGGGCAGGGCACGGGAUCCUCGGCAGUGUCCAGCGGACACGUUGGCAUGUUGUGCUGCUUGCUGCUGGAGCUCGCGCUCCGUCUCCAGAUACGCCCGCUCUACAUCAGCGCCGCUGAUCGCUACCGGGAGCUCAAGCCACUGAGCAUUCCACGCUGGUGUGCCGGGAUUCUCGGGACGUGCACAGGUCGACGCUGUCUGGCAAAGUGCUUGCUCCAGUGAGCGCAUUCGUUUCCGGAACGCUGGAUCGUCGAGCAACCGAGCGCAGACCGCCGGAUCCCAGCACGACACAGCUGAUCGCUUCGAGAGCUGAUGUCUCUGGUGCAGGGCCUGCGAAGUCAGCAACUCUAAACAGAGCUGCACGCGUUUGUGCUCUUCAUCGAAUAGAAUGGAUGACGCAUCGCAUGCGUCAUCGUCAGCGAUAAUAGUGGACGCUGGUGCUGUACCUUGCUCCGAUGUUGAUGGUGUCUCCAAAAACCUUUCAAUGAGCUUCCGCGGAUCCCCGUAAAGGCGCACAGA
rnacentral:misc_RNA from 1 species